UGUGUGCAUAUGCAUGUGUGCAUGUGCAUGUGUGUGUGCAUGUGCAUGUAUGUACA
rnacentral:miRNA from 14 species